UGGGGAAUUUUGCGCAAUGGGCGAGAGCCUGACGCAGCAACGCCGCGUGGGUGAUGAAGGUCUUCGGAUUGUAAAACCCUGUCGUCGGGGACGAAGAUUGGGAGGUGAAUAGCCUUUCAGUUUGACGGUACCCGGAGAGGAAGCCCCGGCUAACUCUGUGCCAGCAGCCGCGGUAAUACAGAGGGGGCAAGCGUUAUUCGGAAUUAUUGGGCGUAAAGGGCGCGUAGGCGGUGAUUUAAGUGAGAUGUGUAAUCCCCGGGCUUAACCUGGGAACUGCAUCUCAGACUGGGUCGCUAGAGUACUGGAGAGGGUGGUAGAAUUCCACGUGUAGCGGUGAAAUGCGUAGAGAUGUGGAGGAAUACCAGUGGCGAAGGCGGCCACCUGGACAGUAACUGACGCUGAGGCGCGAAAGUGUGGGUAGCAAACA
rnacentral:rRNA from 1 species